rnacentral:lncRNA from 1 species
AUUUAUAAAAAAGUUAAUUCAAUUAAAUAUUAAAUAUGCCAAGUUUAGAGUAACUUUCUGGUUUUAAAAAACUUAGUAUUUAUUCAUCUUAAAGUUUCAUGUUUUUUUGUGUGCUUGCUUUAGGUUAAGGUUUAGCCAUAGUGGCUUGAAAUUCAUAAUAUUUAACUUCAUCUUUUAAUUUUAGAUGUCUAAAGUUAAACUUCCUCAAUCAGAUGUCGAUCUUCUGAUGACUUAUUUUUCUGUACCAGUUAUACAAUUGCUCAAUAGAGUUAGUAAUGUUUUUGUUUUGAAAGAACUGAAGAAUGCACUAACUCAAUUUUCAUCAUUAAAGGUUAUUGAUAACGACCAUUUUGGUAAAAGGGAGUUCUUCUCACGACUCAACAUUACUUUAAAAAAUCUCUAUCCUGAGUUCAAGGAUGAUUGGAUAAAAGGGGGAGGCGAUACAAUGCUCCAUUAACUAAAAAUAUAAAUACUUUGAUGCAUCUUGUAAUGUGGUUGGAGUGGCGGGGGAGGGAACGGCAGCGAGGGUUUACGCCCCUCACCCUAAGUCAAUGUGUAUAUACCAUUAGUGUAUGUUAUAAAGAAGUGAAUUAUAAUUUUUUGUAUUUUA